GAUGAACGCUGGCGGCGUGCCUAAUACAUGCCAGUCGAGCGAACAGACGAGGAGCUUGCUCCUCUGACGUUAGCGGCGGACGGGUGAGUAACACGUGGAUAACCUACCUAUAAGACUGGGAUAACUUCGGGAAACCGGAGCUAAUACCGGAUAAUAUAUUGAACCGCAUGGUUCAAUAGUGAAAGACGGUUUUGCUGUCACUUAUAGAUGGAUCCGCGCCGCAUUAGCUAGUUGGUAAGGUAACGGCUUACCAAGGCAACGAUGCGUAGCCGACCUGAGAGGGUGAUCGGCCACACUGGAACUGCGACACGGUCCAGCCUCCUACGGGAGGCAGCAGUAGGGAAUCUUCCGCAAUGGGCGAAAGCCUGACGGAGCAACGCCGCGUGAGUGAUGAAGGUCUUCGGAUCGUAAAACUCUGUUAUUAGGGAAGAACAAAUGUGUAAGUAACUAUGCACGUCUGGACGGUACCUAAUCAGAAAGCCACGGCUAACUACGU
rnacentral:rRNA from 1 species